rnacentral:rRNA from 1 species
GGGUAUUGUCCCGGGGGCUCUCUAGAGAUUAGAGUUUGAUCCUGGCUCAGAACGAACGCUGGCGGCGUGGAUAAGACAUGCAAGUCGAACGCUGACAUUCUGGUAGCAAUAUUAGGAUGUUGGAGUGGCGCAAGGGUGUGUAACACGUGAGUAAUCUGCCGUGAAGUCUGGGAUAACUCGCUGAAAGGCGAGCUAAUACCGGAUGUGAAUGUAAAUUCAAAGUUGGGGAUCGCAAGACCUGACGCUUUACGAUGAGCUCGCGGCCUAUCAGCUAGUUGGUGAGGUAAAGGCUCACCAAGGCUAAGACGGGUAGCUGGUCUGAGAGGACGACCAGCCACACUGGAACUGAGACACGGUCCAGACACCUACGGGUGGCAGCAGUCGAGAAUUUUUCUCAAUGGGCGAAAGCCUGAAGGAGCGACGCCGCGUGGGGGAUGAAUGGCUUCGGCCCGUAAACCCCUGUCAUUUGCGAACAAAUUAAUCUACCCAACACGUGGAUUAUUGAUUGUAGCGAAAGAGGAAGGGACGGCUAACUCUGUGCCAGCAGCCGCGGUAAUACAGAGGUCCCAAGCGUUGUUCGGAUUCACUGGGCGUAAAGGGUGCGUAGGCGGUCGGAUAAGUCUGACGUGAAAUCUCCGGGCCUAACCCGGAAACUGCGUUGGAAACUAUCUGGCUAGAGGAAUGGAGGGGAGACUGGAAUACUUGGUGUAGCAGUGAAAUGCGUAGAUAUCAAGUGGAACACCAGUGGCGAAGGCGAGUCUCUGGACAUUUCCUGACGCUGAGGCACGAAAGCCAGGGGAGCAAACGGGAUUAGAUACCCCGGUAGUCCUGGCCCUAAACGGUGCACGUUUGCUGUGAGUGGAAUCGACCCCACUCGUGGCAUAGUUAACACGAUAAACGUGCCGCCUGGGAAGUACGGCCGCAAGGUUAAAACUCAAAGAAAUUGACGGGGGCCUGCACAAGCAGUGGAGUAUGUGGCUUAAUUCGAUGCAACGCGAAGAACCUUACCUGGCCUUGACAUGCAUAUAGUAGAAGCCUGAAAGGGUGACGAGGUAGCAAUACCAGUAUGCACAGGUGCUGCAUGGCUGUCGUCAGCUCGUGUCGUGAGAUGUUGGGUUAAGUCCCGCAACGAGCGCAACCCCUGUGUCCUGUUGCCACCCCUUAAUUGGGAGCACUCUGGACAGACUGCCUCGCUUCAACGAGGAGGAAGGUGGGGAUGACGUCAAGUCAGUAUGGCCCUUACGGCCAGGGCUGCACACGUACUACAAUGGCCGGUACAAAGGGAAGCAAGACCGCAAGGUGGAGCAAAUCCCCCAAAACCGGCCCCAGUUCAGAUUGUCGUCUGCAACUCGACGGCAUGAAGCUGGAAUUGCUAGUAAUGGCGCAUCAGCUACGGCGCCGUGAAUACGUUCCCAGGCCUUGUACACACCGCCCGUCACAUCAUGAAAGCCGGUUGCACCCGAAGUCGCCCCUUAAAAGGUGCCGAAGGUAUGACUGGUGAUUGGGAUGAAGUCGUAACAAGGUAGCCGUAAAU